GUGCUUGCACAGCUGCACGUAGACUGAAAUUGGGGGAACGAUCCAGAGAAGACAGCCUGGCCCCUGUGCAAGGGUGACCUGCAAGUCUGUGAAGCGUUCCGUGUUUUG
ensembl:snRNA U6 U6 spliceosomal RNA